rnacentral:rRNA from 1 species
AUACGGAGGGUGCAAGCGUUACUCGGAAUCACUGGGCGUAAAGCGCGCGCAGGCGGUCUUUUAAGUUGGAUGUGAAAGCCUACGGCUCAAUCGUAGAACUGCAUCCAAAACUAUUAGACUAGAGUGUGGGAGAGGAAGAUGGAAUUAGUUGUGUAGGGGUAAAAUCCGUAGAGAUAACUAGGAAUACCAAAAGCGAAGGCAAUCUUCUGGAACACUACUGACGCUGAGGCGCGAAAGCGUGGGGAGCAAACAGGAUUAGAUACCCUAGUAGUCC